AUUGAACGCUGGCGGCAUGCUUUACACAUGCAAGUCGAACGGUAACAGGGAGCUUGCUCCGCUGACGAGUGGCGAACGGGUGAGUAAUGCAUCGGAACGUACCCAGUCGUGGGGGAUAACGUAGCGAAAGUUACGCUAAUACCGCAUACGUCCUGAGGGAGAAAGCGGGGGACCGUAAGGCCUCGCGCGAUUGGAGCGGCCGAUGUCGGAUUAGCUAGUUGGUAGGGUGAAGGCCUACCAAGGCGACGAUCCGUAGCGGGUCUGAGAGGAUGAUCCGCCACACUGGGACUGAGACACGGCCCAGACUCCUACGGGAGGCAGCAGUGGGGAAUUUUGGACAAUGGGCGAAAGCCUGAUCCAGCCAUGCCGCGUGAGUGAAGAAGGCCUCGGUUGUAAGCUCUUUCUAGCCGGAAAGAAAUACGCGCAGGAUAAUAACUCUGCGUGGAUGACGGUACCGGAAGAA
rnacentral:rRNA from 1 species